UCUUCUUCUCAGUGACUUCAUCUUUGUGCUU
rnacentral:piRNA from 1 species